ensembl:lncRNA
CUUCCAGGGAGGUCAGUGAGGUUUGCAUCAAUUUCUGGCAUAGAGGUGCUAAGGAGCAACAGGAGGCACUUCACCCAUAGUACUGCAGGGCCCCAGGCACUAAGCACACAGUGGUGAGGAGAGUGAUCUGUGGGAAGGCAGUGGAGAACAGCAGCACUCUCAUGAAAUUGAUCUUCAUUUGCACUACAAAGGAAAGGAUGAAGCUCAGAGCCUGCACCAUCUUCAGGAAGAAACAUGUUCCCCUCUGGUAAAAAGAAGCUCUCCCCAUCCAAGUAGGUGAAAAAUUCACCUCCUUGAAAUGAAAAGUGAAUUCCAAUAUUUUCUCUCUUCCUUUAGCUGUCUUUUGUUUAUUGUAAGAUUCCCCACUGUAGUAGAGGAUGGGGACUCACUCAUAUGAUUUUUAGAUAUCAAAAUAUACCUAUGAUAUCCAGUUUUCAAAGGUUCUGUGCUAUAAUUAUGUAAAUCUUCUGCACAGACACACUUUGUCUCCUAAGUUAUUUAUAACCCCAGGAGCUACCAAUCAGUCAGUCUCACCUCAAAAGAGGUGGGAAAGAUCAUGGAGCAUCCUGGAAGCUAUGCCAAGACACAUGGAAGACGGAGGUGAUACAGGAGAACCAGCAUGACUACACCAAGGGCAAAUCUUGUUUGACCAACCUAGUGGCCUUUUACGAUGGUAUCACUGCAUCAAUGGACAAGGGAAGAGACACUGAUAUCAUCUAUCUGGACUUCAGUAAGGCCUAUGACAUGUUAUGUCACAAUCUCCUUCUCUCCAAGUUGGAAAUAUGGAUUUGAUGGGUGGACUGUUCGAUGGAUGAGGAACUGGCUGCAGGAUCAAGUCUUGAGAGUGGUGGUCAGUGGCUCAGUGUCUGGAUGGAGACCAGUGACGAGCGGUGUCCCUCAGGAGUUGGUCCUGAGACUGAUACUCUUAGAUCUUCAUUAGUGACAUUGACAGUGGGGUUGAGUGCAUGAUCAGCAAGUCUGUGGAUAACACGAAGCUGUGGGACGCAAUCAGCAUGCUCAAGAGAUGGAAUGUCAUACAGUUGGACCUAGACAGGCUUGAGUAGUGGGCCCAGGUGAACCUCAUGAGGUUCAUCAAAUCCAAGUUCAAGGUCUUGCACCUGGGUUGUGGCAACCCCCAUUACCAAUACAAACUGGAGGAUGAAAGGAUUGAAUACAGCGCUGCCGAUAAGGACCUGAGGGUACUGGUGGAUGGGAAGCUGGACAUGAGCCAGCAAUGUCCCUUGCAGCUCAGAAAGAUAACCAUAUCCUGAUCAAAAGAAGCAUGGCCAGCAGGUCAAGCAAGGUGAUCCUGCCCCUCUAGUCUGUGCUGGUGAGACCUCACCUGGAGUAUUGUGUCCAGAUGUGGUGUUGUCAGUACAGGAGAAAUAUAGAGCUGUUGCAGCGUGUCCAGAGGAAGGCCACAAAAAUGGUCCAAGGGAUGGACCACCUCUCCUAUGAGUACAAGGUGAAAGAACUGGGGCUGUUCAGACUGGAGAAGAGAAGGCUUCUCUUGAUAGAAACCUUUCAGAAUCCAAAGUGGAGUUACAGGAAAGAAGGGGACAGACUCUUUAGCAGAGUCUGUUGUGAUCAGACAAAGGGAGAUUGUUUCAAGCUUGAAGAGGGUAGAUUUAGGUUAGAUAUAAAGAAAGUCUUCUGCAGGAAGGGUGGUGCCCCAUCUCUGGGGACUUUCAAGGUCAGAUUGGGCAGAGCUCUGAGCAAACAGAUCUAACUGGGGGUGUCCCUGUAUGUUGCAGGGGAGUUGGACUAGAUGGACGUUAAGGUACCUUCCAGCUCUAAAGAUUCUAUGUUUCUAUCAUUCUAUGAUUCAAUUUGUAUCUGGUGCUGACUACAAAUGAGUUUAUGUGAACAAUAAGGUAAUAGCCAAAUGAACUUGCUCUGAUUGACUUUUGAUUGCACCAAAACCUUGGUUAAUCUCACUGGCUACUACUCCAUCACUAGCAUCAAUGAGGGAAAUGAGAGGACCAUAAUUAUCAGAGGGGACCAAAAACAGGAUCUAUCAAAGACAGCUGCCUCCUGUCCCUUUGGCAGCAUCUGCUUGAGCAGUGCUUUUUUUUUUUUUUUUUUUUUUUCCUGGUGUUUUCUAUGGUGUUUUCUCUUUUCACCUUUAUUCCUUAACAAUCUAUAUUAAAG